GUGCCAGCAGCCGCGGUAAAACGGAGGGUGCAAGCGUUGUUCGGAAUUACUGGGCGUAAAGCGCGUGCAGGUGGUUUUUUAAGUUUCGUGUGAAAUCCCAUGGCUCAACCAUGGAACGGCACGGAAAACUGGAAGGCUUGAGUACGGGAGAAGAGGGCGGAAUUCCCAGUGUAGAGGUGAAAUUCGUAGAUAUUGGGAGGAACACCGGUGGCGAAAGCGGCUCUCUAGACCGAUACUGACGCUCAUACGCGAGAGCGUGGGUAGCAAACAGGAUUAGAUACCCCUGUAGUCC
rnacentral:rRNA from 1 species